rnacentral:rRNA from 1 species
GACGAACGCUGGCGGCGUGCUUAACACAUGCAAGUCGAACGGAAGGGCCCUGCUUUUGUUGGGUUCUCGAUAGGCGAACGGGUGAGUAACACGUGAGUAACCUGCCCUUAACUUUGUGAUAACUUCAGGAAACUGGGGCUAAUACCGGGUAGAAUCUCCUGCUCCGUGUGGGGGGAUGGUGAGUGUCGGCGGUUUGGGCUGGACUCGCGGGUUACCAGCUUGUUGGUGGGGUAGUGGCUUACCAAGGCUUUGACGGGUAGCCGGCCUGAGAGGGUGACCGGCCACCAUGCGCCUGAGAGACGGACCAGAAGCCUACGGUAGGCAGCAGUGGGGAAUAUUGCACAACGGGCGGAAGCCUGAUGCAGCAACGCCGGGUUCGUGAUGCCGUCUUUCGGGGUGUAAACCGCUUUCGCCUGUGCCGAAGCGUGCGUGACGGUAAUGGGUCAAAAAGCACCGGCUAACUACGUG